UCGCAUGCGUAUGGGCAGCCUCUGCUAA
rnacentral:piRNA from 1 species